rnacentral:rRNA from 1 species
GACGUAGGGAGCGAGCGUUGUCCGGAAUCAUUGGGCGUAAAGAGCGCGUAGGCGGCUACGCAAGUCGGAUGUGAAAACUCGGGGCUCAACCCCGAGCGUGCAUCCGAUACUGCGUGGCUAGAGGUAGGUAGGGGAGAUCGGAAUUCCUGGUGUAGCGGUGAAAUGCGCAGAUAUCAGGAGGAACACCGGUGGCGAAGGCGGAUCUCUGGGCCUUACCUGACGCUCAGGCGCGAAAGUGUGGGGAGCGAACAGG